rnacentral:lncRNA from 1 species
UAACUCUCUUGGGACUCUUAUUGGUCUUCCUCUUCUCCACUGCUUUUGUCGAACGUGUUCAAAAGGAUUUGAAACCAACUAUUGGAGGAAGAAAAUCAAUCACUCUCCUUUGUCUCCUAUUGGGACCACUGCCCCACCCCCCCCAACAAAAGGAUAAAUUCCUGGAAAGUGUAAAGGGAAGAAAGCCCCUCCAUUGGGAAAUAGGUUGGUGUCAGGCUACUUGCUUGUCUGAUUCUUCACAAUGAUAAAGGCCAGCAGAGAAAGUUCAGUGCAAAAGUUCAUCAGCCACCAGGCCAUCAGGAGCAUCUAUUGAUCAAAUCAAAUGUUCACUUCAAACUGCGUUUCUUAACCUGCAGGUGUAGAAUCACCCAUAACAGAUACAGUCACACCUAUCUCUGCACAUACUUGUACGUUCAGGACAACCUGAUGUAUUACAAUUAACAACAUGGUGUCAGUACUGCAGAAGGAUUCACUUGUAUAAAAUAUCCACCAGAGAAAUCGCCUGGAAGUUACUUUCUAAUCUCCUUGACUCUUCCUCGGUACCUUGUGGAAUAGAUGUGGGCUGGGGUAUAGCUUCUGGAUGGUCAUAUAAAUUGAACAGAGGAUAAGUGGAGCCCUUUUUUCAUCUCUUCCAAAAUAUGAAACAUUGCACUGAUCUCGGUGGAAAUAAAUGCCAAAGAGUCAGAUCAUUUAAGAGCGGAGGAAAAGAUUUUUCUGGAGAAGAAGCUCAAUUUAAUAAAUCCUUUGCCGAGGGAUUUGCUCAAACUUUUGGUACUCACCCAAGCAUUUGUCUGAAAAGAGUUUUGUCUUCUCUCGCCAUUGUUGCAAGAUACUGGUAAGGAAAGCUGUUUGAACUUCCUCAAAACAUCAACAUUUAAUACUCCUUAAGUUUCCAACAGGAAAACGAGGUAAGUUAAUAUUUUCCCAUGUUGAUACAUAAUUGAAUUAGAGUUUUACUUAACUUAAUAAAUUGCCACCUGGGGUAAUAGAACCAUGAACAGCACUUAAUUUCAGGUCUGCAUUAACUGUGCUUUCUCACUGCCCCGGUCUGAGUGCCUGUUACCACGGCUCCCAAAGGCAUCAGGGUAAGAAAAUCAUUUUCAAGAAAGUUCUGGGAACAAACUGUGUUAGCUUGGGGAGGCUGAAGGUGGGAAAUUAGGGUCAUGUUCAUGCCUGAGUGCACUGUACCAUAACACACACUGUGGUUGUAGUUUAUAUUAUAAUACGUCAAGACUAAGGAGGUACUCCCGGCUCAGAUCAGGUAGUCCUCUGCAACUAUCUAGACCAGCGAUGUACAGUGCAUCUCCAGCUUUAUAUUGCUGGGAGGAGAACUGGACUUCCAAAAGUUUUGAUGUAACUUCACUCAUGAAGAUUUACUAUGCUCAGUUCCACUGGUGAAACCCUUUAUGAAGAACUCAGAAAGGUACGCUUCGGUUUUUGUCAGAUUUGUUGGCAAUCUCUCUGUGCCACCUGCCUUCUGUAACCUUUAGAUAAGUAAACCCAGGAGUGGUGAAGCCUGAUCUCUCCAUCAAUCUCAAGUUACUAUUGACUCAAGGUUCAUUCUAACUCCACCAUAACCCAAUUUUUAAAAACAAAAAUGUCUUUGCUGAGAUAAUAAAGAAGAAACAUCAUGAGUUUCUACAAAUACCUUCAAAAGACAGAAUCCAAACAGAG